rnacentral:lncRNA from 1 species
UACACCGCCAUUGUCAGAUACUCCAUAGAAGGAAGUCCGUCCUGAGUGGGUACUAACUGCAGCCUUGUUGUUGCGGUCCUAUCUAGGAGUAAGUCUCUAGCGUGUGAGGCUGUGUCCCUCGGUCACCGGUUGGUGAGCCAUGUUCCUAAGUAGUCGUAUAUAUGUUGUUGGCUUGGGCAGUAGGAAGGACAGGUAUGAACUUUACUCUGAAUCAAUACAAUCUGUCCCUGUUUCCUCUCCUGUUCUCGUCUCCUACCUCUGCUCCUUCUCUACUAUCUCCUCAUUCCAUUAGCAGUAGCUAACAAUUGGUAUCAGAGCUCCACCGAUCCUCGGAUCCUCGUUCCAUGGCGUCUUCUUCAUCCAUCGGCAUCAACUUCAUCCAGGUGCUGGAACAUCAGACGCGCGCCCUCUUCUCGGAGUUGGACAAGCGUCUUCAGGCUCGCGACGACAAAUGGGAGUUCCGUGUUGCCGUCCUGGAGUCCCGCGCGGCGGAUUCGGAGCGCCAACUCGACAACGUCUCCUCCGACCUGCGAACCGACGUCGCGGCCCAGAUCUCAGUGGUGGAGGCGCUCGAGUCCAUUGUCGUUGAUUCGACACAGCACAUGGAUUCGGUUUCGUCCAGCAUUCGUGCAGAUCCGGAGGUGCGCCAAGCGGCGGUGGACGCGACCGCGGAGGAUCGGCGCCACCACUUCGAAGCCGCCACCAGCUCACACAUCACGGAACUCGAAUCGACCACCCAAGUGUUCGAGCUCUGGCAUCCCCGCAUCGACUCCGCGAUCAACCAUCUCCACCCCUCCAUGGUCAAGGUUCGAGCAGCGAUCGACACCAGGGACCUACAGUGGUCGCCUGAUGCGCACGGCGGCGGCUCUGGCGGCCUUCUCGGAGAGCCGGGUGGUGAACCAACUGAAAUCAGCGGCGCUGCUCAUGCCGGUGGCCUACCUCGCCCACAUCAACACCCCCAUCGGCAUCCUGCUAUCCAAAGCGUUCGUCGGCGAGGUGCUCUUGGACUUCCUCGGGAUGGCCGAGAUCGACCCGCUAGCACCACUGGUGACGAACCUGAUCAGGGCAUUCUGCCGCUGCCCGAGCAUGAGCUGCUACGACCUCGCCGGCUCCAUCACCGGCAAGAACUACUGCCUCAACAGCUCCGUCGUCGACUUCUUCCUCAAGUACGAGCCCGAGCCGACCUCCACGGUCCACUUUGCUCAAACCGUGCGCGACGUGCUACUGGAGCGCAACAUUGCCAGCUACGGCCAGGGCGAGCCGCCGGUGUACCGGAUAUCUGGCAUCCCACCGAGCUCAGCUUCCCCUUCCUGGCGUCCUAUCUCCUGCAGUUGGUGAUCCGUGAGGAGGAGGGUGAGGUUCCCAGCACCUUGCCCACCCAGUGUUUGAUGAAUUGGUUCAGCUGCAGCUGUGCCUCAGUGUUGUAUGACGUCACCAAACUCAUUAAGCCCCUACCAACUCUGGCGAUGGGUGUUUCAAGCAUACCUCCACCAGCUCCAUUGGGUAUUCAGCUAGUGCUCGAUGCUAUGCCUCGUGGGCCACUACUUGGAGAUGUGCAUGACAAAGGGCCUUGGCCACCACCUAUUCAGUUCGGGAUGCAUGCCACUCAACGCAGGCCAAUUCCCUGGCCAUCCUUCUCUGGUAUUAUAAUUCGGAGGCACUUGUUGCAAUCACUGCCCUUGGUGCCCCACUGCUCAGUAAACAUGAGAAAGAGCAUGUUUACCCAUUGCCAACUCAGUGUGAUACAUUGGAAGCAUUGCUUUGAGUUUUUAGACAAUGCACUGUCGGUAGAUUGCUUCCAGUCGGGUGCGCCUAAAUGGGAUCAAUCAUCUGACACCCACAAGGUAUCUUCAGCUGAAGAUAAAUUGGUUGCGCUGUGCCGAUUUCGUCGAGCUCGAGGUCUCUGGGAAAAAUGUGAUGAGAAAUGGAGUCACGCCUACAAAUGCAUUGUUGAUGCUCAUCUUCAUGCAUUGGAAGAAGUUUGGGAGCUCUUGGUGCCUGAUCCAACUAAAACCGAAGGACAGAGUCCAGAAGAUUCAUCUACAGAGCAGCUGUUUAUGUUAGUAUCUCUGGCUGCUUGGGGAGGUACAAAUGUUUCUCAGACUUUGAAAUUUCAAGGCCAACUUCAGAAUCAUUCAGUUCUGAUAUUGAUUGAUAGUGGUAGUCCAUAUACCUUCUUGCAUGAGAAGUUCCGUGCAUGGUUCCAGCAUGUGGAUCUGGUGGUUGCUCCAUUGCAGGUUCGCGUGGCUAAUGGAGAAUUGUUACAUUGCCAACACAAGAUACUGCAGAUACCGUGGCAAAUUCAGACUUUCAAUCACAUACAGGACACGAUGAUCCCUUCAAAUUUGGACUGUUUUGGGUGGUGCACAUCGGAUGCAUUUUACAAAGCUGCUGAACCAUGUGGGAUUGAGGAGGACCUUCAACGUCGGCGUGAAGGUGGUGUGCCACCAAGGUUUCUGAUUAUAGAUGAUGGUUGGCAAGAGAUAGUUGACUAUUAUCCAGAGACGUUGCAUCAGAUGUUUGUUGCGAAUGCAGGUUCCAGUUUCAAGCUACCAGGGAAUUCUGUGAAAGACUUUCUUGACUCUAAAACUGCUUGAAGAUACAUGUUUUGGGAACAAAGUUUCAGAACAAGCUUCUUGAAGUAAUCGAUGCAAGAUCCUGCAUGUGUUUAGAUUCUGCGUCGACUUGAGGGCAAGUCGAAUUUUAAGGAGGAGGGAAUGUUACACCGCCAUUGUCAGAUACUCCAUAGAAGGAAGUCCGUCCUGAGUGGGUACUAACUGCAGCCUUGUUGUUGCGGUCCUAUCUAGGAGUAAGUCUCUAGCGUGUGAGGCUGUGUCCCUCGGUCACCGGUUGGUGAGCCAUGUUCCUAAGUAGUCGUAUAUAUGUUGUUGGCUUGGGCAGUAGGAAGGACAGGUAUGAACUUUACUCUGAAUCAAUACAAUCUGUCCCUGUUUCCUCUCCUGUUCUCGUCUCCUACCUCUGCUCCUUCUCUACUAUCUCCUCAUUCCAUUAGCAGUAGCUAACAAAGAUCGACCACCGUCCUCUUGUGCAAGAGAAUAUGAGAACCACCCUACCAAAGCCAAGGCGCGGCGUGGACGAACCAGCGCCUCUUGUUCCGGUCGACGUUUUGGGCUUCCAUUCGAGAUGGGCACGUAGAUCCAACCACUCGGCCUUCCGUUCCUGAACGCCGGCUGCCCGGCUGUCACCAUACGCUGGCAAACAUUCUUAGCGAACGAAUCUGAUCGACCAGCCCUCCCAUGGGAUCGUUGCGCCAGCCAAGAUGGUGUACUGCGGCCACAAGACUUUGGCUACUCGAGUUACUCACCGGGUGAGAGUAUGGAC